UCGAACGCUUCGCCGGUUUCGGCCGGUGGGGAGUGGCGCACGGGUGAGUAGCGCGUGGGAACCUGCCCUGUUGUGGGGGAUAACCGAGGGAAACUUCGGCUAAUACCGCAUGCGCCCCGACGCGAGUCGGGGGAAAGAUUUAUCGCAGCAGGAGGGGCCCGCGUCGGAUUAGCUGGUUGGCGGGGUAACGGCCCACCAAGGCGAUGAUCCGUAGCUGGUCUGAGAGGAUGAUCAGCCACACUGGGACUGAGACACGGCCCAGACUCCUACGGGAGGCAGCAGUGGGGAAUAUUGGACAAUGGGGGCAACCCUGAUCCAGCAAUGCCGCGUGAGUGAUGAAGGCCUUCGGGUUGUAAAGCUCUUUCGCCCGCGACGAUNAUGACGGUAGCGGGAGAAGAAGCCCCGGCUAACUUC
rnacentral:rRNA from 1 species